AUUGAACGCUGGCGGCAGGCCUAACACAUGCAAGUCGAACGAGUGGCGGACGGGUGAGUAAUGUCUGGGGAACUGCCCGAUGGAGGGGGAUAACUACUGGAAACGGUGGCUAAUACCGCAUACCAUCGGAUGUGCCCCGAUGGGAUUAGCUAGUGGGUGGGGUAAUGGCUCACCUAGGCGACGAUCCCUAGCUGGUCUGAGAGGAUGACCAGCCACACUGGAACUGAGACACGGUCCAGACUCCUACGGGAGGCAGCAGUGGGGAAUAUUGCACAAUGGGCGAAAGCCUGAUGCAGCCAUGCCGCGUGUAUGAAGAAGGCCUUAGGGUUGUAAAGUACUUUCAGCGAGGAGGCGUUACUCGCAGAAGAAGCACCGGCUAACUCCGUGCCAGCAGCCGCGGUAAUUC
rnacentral:rRNA from 1 species